UACGUAGGGUGCAGGCGUUAAUCGGAAUUACUGGGCGUAAAGCGUGCGCAGGCGGUUUCUUAAGUCAGAUGUGAAAGCCCCGGGCUUAACCUGGGAACUGCGUUUGAAACUGGAAGACUUGAGUGUGGCAGAGGGGGGUGGAAUUCCACGUGUAGCAGUGAAAUGCGUAGAUAUGUGGAGGAACACCAAUGGCGAAGGCAGCCCCCUGGGUCAACACUGACGCUCAUGCACGAAAGCGUGGGGAGCAAACAGG
rnacentral:rRNA from 1 species